rnacentral:lncRNA from 1 species
GAGCAAAUAAAAAGAAAGAAAAAAUAUAUCUGUCUUCUAACAAAUGUUGACCAUGGUUGUUGUUCAUGGAUAAUGAGAUUGAUUUCUCUAUAUUUUUUAAGACUUUCCAAAUUACUGAAGUAGGCAUAUUUACUUCUACAAAUAGGAUAUAUAUGUCACAAAAUGUAACAUCUAAAGCAGGGGUUGGCUUAAUUCCUAUAAAGAUAUCUGUAAAGGGCUGGAUAGUAAAUAUUUCAGACUUCAGUCUAUAUAGUCUCUGUUACAAUUACUCAGCUGUGUUAGAGAAAGUAGCCAGAGAAAAUUUGUCAAUAAAUGAGCAUAGUUUUAAAUAAAACUUUACUUACAAAAGUAAGGUACCAGGACAUGUUUGGC